rnacentral:rRNA from 1 species
UACGUAGGGGGCAAGCGUUGUCCGGAAUCAUUGGGCGUAAAGAGCGUGUAGGCGGCCAGAUAAGUCCGCUGUGAAAUCUCGAGGCUCAACUUCGAGCUGUCGGUGGAAACUGUCUGGCUAGAGUCCGGAAGAGGAGAAUGGAAUUCCUGGUGUAGCGGUGAAAUGCGCAGAUAUCAGGAAGAACACCCGUGGCGAAGGCGGUUCUCUGGGACGGUACUGACGCUGAGAACGCGGAAAGCGUAGGGAGCGAA